AAGGAGUUGCCGGGAGAUGGGAGCUCGUCGUCGUCGGCGGCGGAGUUCGCGACGAGCCGCAUCAACGCGGCGUGGGAGCUGGCCCGGAGCGCGUACCUGGGGUACUGGAGGAGCGCCUACUGCCGGGAAGGGUGGCUGCUGAUGGCGGCGAGGGCGGCGGCGGUGGCGCUGCCUGGCCUGCCGUUCCACAGGGUGCAGGACUACGUCAAUGCCGUCACGCUCGCCG
rnacentral:misc_RNA from 1 species